GACGAACGCUGGCGGCGUGCCUAAUACAUGCAAGUCGAACGCAUUUUCUUUCACCGUAGCUUGCUACACCGAAAGAAAAUGAGUGGCGAACGGGUGAGUAACACGUGGGUAACCUGCCCAUCAGCGGGGGAUAACACUUGGAAACAGGUGCUAAUACCGCAUAAUUCCAUUUACCGCAUGGUAGAUGGGUGAAAGGCGCUUUUGCGUCACUGAUGGAUGGACCCGCGGUGCAUUAGCUAGUUGGUGGGGUAACGGCCUACCAAGGCUGCGAUGCAUAGCCGACCUGGGAGGGUGAUCGGCCACACUGGGACUGAGACACGGCCCAGACUCCUACGGGAGGCAGCAGUAGGGAAUCUUCGGCAAUGGACGCAAGUCUGACCGAGCAACGCCGCGUGAGUGAAGAAGGUUUUCGGAUUGUAAAACUCUGUUGUUAGAGAAGAACAAGGAUGAGAGUGGAAAGUUCAUCCCUUGACGGUAUCUAACCAGAAAGCCACGGCUAACUACGUG
rnacentral:rRNA from 1 species